ACCUCUCAAAUAACUUUAAACACACCCUUAAAUUUGAAUGGUCUAAAAUAACCUCAUUGGGACCUCAUUAAUGGCAAGAUUGAUGAAAGAGGAAAAACAUACCUUUAAUGUAAAUCAAUCAAUCUCAUUAUCUUUAUACAUCUUUUCUCAACUGUUGUUUCGUAAUCUUGUGAUCAAAUCAGAGACUUUUGCAGAUUUGUUGCUUUUUUACAAGAAUCCUCUAAUAUACAAGUAUUUUAAUAGGUUUAAUGAUCGGAAUUGUAUUUUAGUAGAAUAUUAUAGAGUGGUGAUGUCUAAAACAUUUAUUGGAAACGCUCUCUAAAGUUCAAUUUCUGAUAAGUCCUUGUCAUAUACAAAUAUUUGUUUCAAGUUCUUUUUUAGUGGAAUUCUUUGGUUACAGUUGUGAAGUCCAUAUGAUUUCAAUAUCGAUAUGAGAUAUGUUGAUUAACAAAGAUUACCAAAAUUCCUCAUAUAAUUCAGCUUAAGCACAUUUGUCAGUAUAAGAGAGGUAUAAAAACGAAUGGCAAAUAUCAGAAGGCGGAGAAAUAAAACGCUAUUGUUUUGACUAAUGCAGACAGUUGUAUAUAUCCAUGGUAAUAUGCAGCUUUUGUAUUUUCAAUAAAUAUCAUCUUUCACUCUUUCCACUUUGUGAUUUUGACCAAUUGAUUCUCUUGAUGUUAUUUGCAUCAACUCUAUUAAGUUAGGGGUUGCUAUGGUAAUUUAAAGUAUGGAAAUAGAGGGAGCCUUUAUUUUCACCUCUCUGAGUCUGUAGAAUUGGUGAUUGACAUUUUUGUUUUCCUCUUAAUGACCUUUUGCUUUCUUUGUUUAUUUGUUACGUCGUUCCCAGCUUCCCAUUUUGAUAAAUCUUAAGUUCCAGGUUAGCAAUAUUUGGGACUAUUGAGAGAUGCCAAAAUCAUUAAUGGAAUUUUGAAGUUCAUGGUGACUUAUCGGCACUAGUUGACACCAACUUGAAUUGCCUUUGCCUGAUCCUUUUACAGAUUUCUGAUGCAAGGAUUACAAUCACGGAACCAAAGCCUGGAGCCACCGACACUGUAAUUAUAAUAUCAGGGACGCCUGAGCAAACUCAUGCAGCUCAGUCUCUUAUUCAAGCAUUUGUGAUGAUCGAAUCAGAGUCAGCUUGAUGUUUCUUAUUCAGGUACAAUUGUUCAGGACAGAUGAUGGAGUCUGGGAUUGAGCUAGAAGGCCAUUUUUCCGGUUAUGCUAUUCUCGUAAAUUGUUGACAGGCCUAGCAAAGAAGAAGCGACAAUAUUCAUGUGCUUGUCAGACUAUUUGCAAGCGAAUUGUGGGGUUGAACCAAGUAGAGCAGCCGCUUUAGUUUUAGAUUUGUAUCUUGAGAGUAGUUUGUGAAUUUCAAAUUUGUUACAGAAAUGUUUGUCAAAUCUCAUGCGAAUUCCAUCUCCAUCUGUGAUGUCUAAUAUGUAAACUUGUUACUCUCGGGACAACUAUUCGUGCUAACCACUGCGCUUGAUUCAUUGAAUUCUCACA